rnacentral:rRNA from 1 species
UGGUCUACGGGAGGCAGCAGUAGGGAAUUUUCGUCAAUGGGCGCAAGCCUGAACGAGCGAUGCCGCGUGAGUGAAGAAGGCCUUCGGGUCGUAAGGCUCUGUUGCGGGGGAAAAAAGGCAGCAUCAGGAAAUGGGUGCUGACUGAUGGUGCACCGCCAGAAAGUCACGGAUAACUACGUGCCAGCAGCCGCGGUAAUACGUAGGUGGCGAGCGUUAUCCGGAAUGAUUGGG